rnacentral:rRNA from 1 species
UACGGAGGGGGCGAGCGUUAUUCGGAAUUAUUGGGCGUAAAGGGCGCGUAGGCGGCUGUACAAGUCAAAGGUGAAAUCCCUCGGCUCAACUGAGGAACUGCCUUUGAAACUGUACGGCUUGAGUCCGGGAGGGGGUAGCGGAAUUCCCAAUGUAGCGGUGAAAUGCGUAGAUAUUGGGAGGAACACCAGUGGCGAAGGCGGCUACCUGGACCGGAUCUGACGCUGAGGCGCGAAAGCGUGGGUAGCAAACAGG